rnacentral:rRNA from 1 species
UACGUAGGGGGCUAGCGUUGUCCGGAAUCAUUGGGCGUAAAGCGCGUGUAGGCGGUCCGGUAAGUCCGCUGUGAAAGUCGAGGGCUCAACCUCGAAUGCCGGUGGAUACUGUCGGGCUUGAGUACGGGAGAGGCGAGUGGAAUUCCUGGUGUAGCGGUGAAAUGCGCAGAUAUCAGGAGGAACACCGGUGGCGAAGGCGGGUCUCUGGGCCGUAACUGACGCUGAGGAGCGAAAGCGUGGGGAGCGAACAGG